UAGAGGGAGACCUAACCGUGAAGUGAAGACAAGAAUAAUUAAAGUCUCACGCUCACAGGUCAAACCAAGGUCGGUUCAAAAAACUCAAGUUGGUCAAAAACUGUCAAACUAAUUGUUCUGGUUAAAACUCGCUCGUUCGAGAGAGAAAAGACUGGGAAUCAAAAACAAGGGCUAUUAGCUCAGGUGGUUAGAGCGCACCCCUGAUAAGGGUGAGAUCCCUGGUUCAAGUCCAGGAUGGCCCACCACCAAAUCAAGUAAGAACAAGAGAGUAGAAAGUAAGAAGUAAAAAGCUGAGCAAGUCCACAAUCAAGUUCUGAAAAUUGAGGGGGUAUAGCUCAGCUGGUAGAGCGCCUGCUUUGCAAGCAGGAUGUCAGCGGUUCAAAUCCGCUUACCUCCACCAAAAAAGAAGCCCCAGAAAAAGUAAUAAAAUUCAGCACUGUCAUGACUACAAGCAAAGAGUAGGAUGAGGAUGCUGGAGUUUAAGACUUCAGAGAAGAACCUUGAAAACUGCAUAAUAUCUAGAAGAAGUAAGCAAAACUAGAGACUUGAAAGAGUUGAAAGCGAGUUUACUUGUGAUAGAGCCAAUCAAGAACUAAGUAAGAAAUUAAUUUAGGUCAAAAAGAGGUGAGAACCCGCGUUAUGCCUUGCGGCGUCCUAAAGGAUACCGCAAGGCACAAGGGAAUGCUCACCUUAAACUAAGGCGUGAACGAAAGUUUACAAACUAGUCCAAGAGUAGAGAACAAAAGCUAGAAAUAGCGAAAAAAGCUCAGUCAACUGAGAAAU
rnacentral:tRNA from 1 species